rnacentral:lncRNA from 1 species
GCCACUCCUAAGCUAUUUAGUGUCUUCACUCAGCCUUGAACCAAGGAGAUUUUGGUUUGACAUUGUGAGUCAUUUUUGUGGUUCCUCCCUAUUAAUGAACUAUGCAAGGCACGUGACCUCAGUCUUCAAUGGGUUAGGAAGGCUGCUGUCCUAGCUCCGGAAUUGGGCGUAACCCACUGGGCCUGGACAGCCCACCUCCUACCUUGCAGGCUCUCACUCUCUCUCUUUCCAGUGUGGAAGCUCAACCCCUAAACUUGAAGAGGCAGCCAUUCCCCAAUUUCUAAAAUUAUUUCCUGGGUAGUGUGGGGUUUUUUUUCCACCUUCUUUUCUUAGCUGUAGGUCGCAGCCAGCUCACUCCACGCAGAGGAAAUCCAAAUUCCACCACCCGCAAGGGACAGGGACGAGAAGUAAACAUUUAGUACACUGCCCAUCUGUUUCUUUUCUAAGAAUACCAUGAUCAAGUAGCCAACACGAUAGGUCUCUGCCAGUCAGAAUGUUCUGAUUACUGCUUUGGCUCUUCUACCCUUUACAGUAACUAUGCCCACCUUGGCUUGGCAGUUGAGUGCUGCUACUUGGCCCCUGCUACCCUGGAAUCCCAUAUUCCCCAUUGUAUUUAGGGAUUCCAUUUGACAGUAGCAGCUCCCCCUGCAAUUUCUGACCUACCAAGAAAAACAACCAGAGAGUUCAAGGAUUCAGGGCCUCUCCUCGUAAACAUACUCCUUGCAGCGGUGUAAAAGGAGUGUCCUCUAACCCUUGAAGGGUGGCUGAGCAGAUCCUAUGUCAUAAAUCUACUCUAACAUCUCAAUUUCCUUAAAUCUUUUAAUACCUUCAUCUACUAUACACCAACAUCGUUCUGGUUCUUCAGUCUGUCUUCAGAUGAUCUGUCAUUUACCUUCAUUCUUUCCUACCCUUUGUGCUUUUUGUUGUUAUACAUUUUACUUCUACAUAUAUUACAAAUUCCUCAAUAUGGCAUUUCUGUUUUAGACAAUUAUGUUUUUAAAAAAAAGAUUUAAAAGGGAUAAAGCAUUCUGGGUGUGGAUGUGUUUUUUGCUUUUGGGACAGGUUCUUGCCAAGUUGCUUAGGGCCUCUUUAAAUUGCUAAGGCUAACAUCAAACUUAUAUCCUCCUACCUUAGUGGAAACUUCUUUGGCUGUUGCUUCUUCAAAUAUUUCUCUGUCUCCCAUUUUGAAGAUUCCAG